GCAGGUGUUUGAGAUGAAGGUCAAAGAAAAAGUUCAAAAACUGAAGGACUCUGAAGCAGAGCUCCAGCGGCGCCAUGAGCAAAUGAAAAAGAA